rnacentral:rRNA from 1 species
GAAUAUUGGACAAUGGGCGAAAGCCUGAUCCAGCAAUGCCGCGUGAGUGAUGAAGGCCCUAGGGUUGUAAAGCUCUUUUACCCGGGAAGAUAAUGACUGUACCGGGAGAAUAAGCCCCGGCUAACUCCGGUCCAGCAGCCGCGGUAAUACGGAGGGGGCUAGCGUUGUUCGGAAUUACUGGGCGUAAAGCGCACGUAGGCGGCUUUGUAAGUCAGAGGUGAAAGCAUGGAGCUCAACUCCAGAACUGCCUUUGAGACUGCAUCGCUUGAAUCCAGGAGAGGUCAGUGGAAUUCCGAGUGUAGAGGUGAAAUUCGUAGAUAUUCGGAAGAACACCAGUGGCGAAGGCGGCUGACUGGACUGGUAUUGACGCUGAGGUGCGAAAGCGUGGGGAGCAAACAG